rnacentral:rRNA from 1 species
AUUGAACGCUGGCGGCAUGCCUUACACAUGCAAGUCGAACGGCAGCACGGGUGCUUGCACCUGGUGGCGAGUGGCGAACGGGUGAGUAAUACAUCGGAACAUGUCCUUUAGUGGUGGAUAGCCCGGCGAAAGCCGGAUUAAUACCGCAUACGAUCCACGGAUGAAAGCGGGGGACCUUCGGGCCUCGCGCUAUCGGGUUGGCCGAUGGCUGAUUAGCUAGUUGGUGGGGUAAAGGCCUACCAAGGCGACGAUCAGUAGCUGGUCUGAGAGGACGACCAGCCACACUGGGACUGAGACACGGCCCAGACUCCUACGGGAGGCAGCAGUGGGGAAUUUUGGACAAUGGGCGAAAGCCUGAUCCAGCAAUGCCGCGUGUGUGAAGAAGGCCUUCGGGUUGUAAAGCACUUUUGUCCGGAAAGAAAUCCUUGACCCUAAUACAGUCGGGGGAUGACGGUACCGGAAGAAUAAGCACCGGCUAACUACGUG